UACGUAGGGUGCGAGCGUUAAUCGGAAUUACUGGACGUAAAGCGUGCGCAGGCGGUUUUGUAAGCCAGAUGUGAAAUCCCCGGGCUUAACCUGGGAAUGGCAUUUGGGACUGCAAGGCUUGAGUGUGGCAGAGGAGACUGGAAUUCCUGGUGUAGCAGUGAAAUGCGUAGAUAUGUGGAGGAACACCGAUGGCGAAGGCAGCCUUCUGGGCCAACACUGACGCUCAUGCACGAAAGCGUGGGGAGCAAACAGG
rnacentral:rRNA from 1 species